UACGGAGGGUGCAAGCGUUGUCCGGAUUUAUUGGGUUUAAAGGGUGCGUAGGCGGCAGAUUAAGUCAGCGGUGAAAUUCCACAGCUCAACUGUGGAACUGCCAUUGAUACUGGUUUGCUUGAGUACAGUUGAGGUAGGCGGAAUUGACAGUGUAGCGGUGAAAUGCUUAGAUAUUGUCAAGAACACCUAUUGCGAAGGCAGCUUACUAAGCUGUAACUGACGCUGAGGCACGAAAGCGUGGGGAGCAAACAGG
rnacentral:rRNA from 1 species